CCAUUUUGGGUCCCGCCCGCCCAUCCCACAGCCCCUCGGGCGGUGCCGCUCCCUGCGGCGGAUCCGGCGGGAACGCGGUCUGUCAUGCUCGCCCGGGGCACGAGGAGCAGCUCUCCGUGCUCCACCCGUGCUGCGCCGGUGUGGGGUUGCCGGGCCGAGGAACUGGGGCUUGGCCGCCAUGCAGGCAGCGAAACCAUAGGGGUGAAACUGUUGUCCAACGACAGCGCGUUCCAUCCCACCAAAGCAGGAAGGGGAAGAGAGAGAAAGAGCACAGAGUGCAGUUUUUGGAGAGCCUUGGUGGGGGCACUGAAUUGGGUAGUACCAUUCCUAAACCACAACACCUGAGGAGAGCCUGAAGCUUUGAGAUGGCACAUUGGGAAGCCUAAGCCAACUGUUCCUGCUGCAUGCAUGCCUGAAUUGAUUACAUUGUUCUGUGGAGCUCAGAGAUUCUCCCUCCUGUUGGUCUGUCCCUGUGUGAAACAGGAAUUCACAGUACUAAAAUGAGUCAGAAGUGAAAGCCAGAACCGCUCCCCCGAGCUUGGACAUCAAUUUGGAAACACCUAGAUCCCACUCUCAGUCCAAAUGGUUUGUGAGGGCAAGUGUUCCAGCUAAGAUCUUGCAGUUGGACACUUUGCCUUUGCUUGGAUCACUGGCAGCUCUCAUGUCAGGCUCAGGUCUUCAGGGCUAUUUUCAUGAGAUGAAAGAAAUCUUAAUUAAGUGUUCAUAUCUUUGUCAGCCAGACUCAGAAUAAAAAUUGAUGCGAUUCCCUUGAGCUUCGCUGCUUGUUAUACCCUGCAGACAACAAAGAUACUGGGAAGAAUAAUGUGAAUCUCAUUUAACAUCACAAAGAAGCUUUCCACAGCAGGAUAGACUGAUGUGAAACUGUUGAAUGGGCAUAGAAAAAACUCUCUACUUUCUCUUCCCUUAAAAAAAAAAAAAGAAAAAGAAAAAAAAGAUUAAAAGAGUAUUUUGAGAA